rnacentral:tRNA from 1 species
AAAAAAAGAGCCUGAUAAAAGGGUUUUUUUGAUAGAAAAAAAUAUGUAAUUGAUUACCUUUUUUA